AAACUGGUAGAUUUCAGUGGUCAGAAAAUGUUUGAAACCAUAUUUACACUGUACAGCGGCAGGUGUGUGCGUGUGUGUGUUUAUCUGCAGCAAACACUGUAUGUGUUGACCAGCUUUAUUACCUGUGUGUAAAUGGGUUGUCUCCCUCUUGGAAACCUCAGGGAUGGCAAGUUUCUGCCGUUCAGCGGACUUAAACUGAUUUUAUUUCAAAAUCGCCCCACUGAACCCCCAUUCGGUGAUACAAUAUUAAGUUUUCCACUGAAAAUGGAGUUUCCUGUUGCCAUCCCUGAAAUUGGGAUCUGAAGAAUUUUCAUGACCACCUAUUACACAUUUGACAUUUUCAACAUAUUCCUGCAAUAGUAUUACAAAUCAACAAGGUUACAAUGUUUGAUGUGGAAAGUUGAAACUGAUUUAUUGUGACCAUACAACUGUUUAUCAAGAGAGAUGUUUGAGAAGUCAGGUGAUACACUAACCUACCCCCAAACUUUGUAUACGCUGAACUGGUUGCAAAAUUGCUUCGAUUAGUUUGCCUGGAUUUGCUUGUGAUUUCAAAUCCCACCAGAUUCUGAUGUCUGUAAGCACUAUACGCAUGUGGGUUUCACCUUAGUGGUGACUGGUACCAUUUUCUGCUUUCUUUCUUCGUUGUGCUAAUCCUGCCAUGUCACUGGUGAACCCAACUGGCUCACUUGUAGGUGAUGAUCGAGUACAUAGAAUUGGAUACUGAAUAAAAGCAUUGACUUUCA